AUUUAAAUAGUUUAAUUAAAAUAUUGAUUUGUGGAGUCAAAGAUACAAUUAUGUUUUAAAUU
rnacentral:tRNA from 2 species